GGCUAGAUGGCAAAGGGUGCUCUGAAUGAAUUAUGCCCUGCAAGUCAAUCGCAUUUGAUAUGUGAUAGGAUCUUUUCUGUAAUUACUUUCAACUCAUGUAUAAUAUUUAUUAUUAAUCAAUAAUAAAUAGAUAUUUUUAUAAUUCAUCAUUUGCUAUGUCUUAAUAAUUUUUAAGAUUAUGAUGAACCCCAUAGAUUAGG
rnacentral:lncRNA from 1 species